AGUUCACUCCUUGCAUGACACCAAGCAGCAAGUGUAAUUGAAGGGAAAUGCUCUAUCCAGAUACCAAGAGGACUAGUCACGAGACCAGGCCUCAAAACAGGAAAAUGGUUCCAAUGGAGAAGUAGAGUAUGAGUCAAGAAUUGAGAGAUGAGCAAUAUACAUUAGCAUUAUAAAACACUAAAGAAAGUAUACAUGCCUAGAGCCUCUGAGGCACACUACAAAGAAGAUGACCUGAAAAGUGACUGCUUACAGGGUCCACAUAUAGGUGACAUGAAAGUUCCCUCAGCCUUGUCAGUAUGAAUGAGCCUGUAAAGUGAAGAUGAAUGAGAAAGGGAUUAGAUGAGUCAUCUGAGUCUGUAAGGCCCUUGCAACAAGAGCAUGAAGAUGAUAAAAGAGGACAGAAAGGGAACAAGUUGGGUGAAAAGAAAACAAUGAAUUAGGGUGAAAAGAUCAAGCCAGUGACCAAACUCUCUACAACUAGAAAAGACUUAUCAGUUUCUCAUGAAUUCGAAGUUGUUUUAACAUUAGAAAAUCAACUGAUGUGAUUCAGCACAUUUACUGAAUAUUAUGAUGACCUGGGCAGAGUCAGAAAAGACAACUGACAAAAUUCAGAUCCUGUUGAGAUAAAUAUUAGCAAACAACCUAGAAAAUCAAGCAUUAUAUUUAAUGGUGAAACAUUAAACAUUUCCUUCUGAGACUUGGAAUGGACAAGGAUGACAUCAUUACUUCUAUUCAACGUUGUACUGAAGGCCCCAGACACUACAGUAAGACAAAAACAGAAUGGAAGAUAAAAGGAUUGGAAAGAAAGAAACCAAACUGUCAUAACUCACAGAUCAGGUAGUGGCUAUAUGCAUACUGGCUUUGUAAUCGUUGCUUAAGCCGUAUUUGUGCUGUGCAUUUUUUAUUAACUCCUAUGCAUCGCCAGGACCCUGAAGGUGUCAUACUCUUCCUGACAGGACCUACCAGCUUGACGGAGAGCUCUAUCCCCAUUUCCUAAAGAAGAAACCUGAUCCUUGGAAAUGUUCAGUGGCUGCCCCAAGAUGUCGGCACAACCUCUUGUGCUCUUGCCUCCUGCCACAAGAACAUAUGUCCCAGAAAAGGGCCACUCCAUCAGCCUAGGUCCAGAAAUGAGAGGACACAUGGACUGAACUUGAAGAUGGCCCACAGCAGACCUGCAGUCAACUCUCAGCCUUUAUGUAAUGCGGGAAAGAAGGAAAUGUGAAUAUUAUAGACUACUAAAAUUCUAAAGUUGUAACAUAGCAAAAUGAUCGAUACAAUUAGCAGUGGCAAUCAGUCUAGCAUAUUGUCAUGCUAUAUGCAUGCUAUAAAACUAUUGAACAAAAAUAUCACUAUCCUAUCAUG
rnacentral:lncRNA from 1 species